UACGAAGGGGGCUAGCGUUGCUCGGAAUCACUGGGCGUAAAGCGCACGUAGGCGGAUUGCUAAGUCAGGGGUGAAAUCCUGGAGCUCAACUCCAGAACUGCCUUUGAUACUGGUGAUCUUGAGUUCGGGAGAGGUGAGUGGAACUGCGAGUGUAGAGGUGAAAUUCGUAGAUAUUCGCAAGAACACCAGUGGCGAAGGCGGCUCACUGGCCCGAUACUGAACGCUGAGGCACGAAAGCGUGGGGAGCAACAGG
rnacentral:rRNA from 1 species